UUGGCGCCAUUAUACUGAGGUCGUUUUAUUUUCCUCAUUUCUUACAUUUAGAUUGACACAAUUUGCCCUGCACCGUGUCUACAACGCCGCAGCAGCUUGGGACUGACUACACUGGAUGUGUUACAUCGCUUGUAAUAAUUGGAAAAUACGUUUGUACUUCGUGUCAGAAACAGCGCGAGCGUUUGGAGUACAUCUGCAUGUCAGAAAUAUACCGGAGCAUCACAUUACUGUCCGCAUUCACUGUAGAUAAUAUAUAUAAUGGGUUCUAUAUUGUUGUCUGUUCUCGAGUCUCGCCGCUCCGCGCCACUCGCGUCCGAGGAAGACACAUAGGCAGCGGGGCAGCUCGGCGGGUUUUUUGCCCGGGGAUGAGCCCGCGAGAGUGGGAGAGCUCCGGAGAACAUCUACGCUGUGUGUCGAUGCACUUUACGAGAGAAUAAGCAAGGCAACUGCAAUGAAGCACCAAGAAAGACAUGAGCAGGCCAGCCACCCUGAGACUGAUAAUUCAUGAGAAGACAUUUCUGUCAAAGUGGACGGUGAGCAAAGAUGGUGGCCACGUUUUGGAGCAGCACCUGGGUUUUGCAGAGAGCUAUGUAUUUUUUGGCUGUUUGUCUUUUUCCCCAUUAUAUUUCUGUUGCCUAAAGAUUAUUUGUGAGGAUGAAUCCAGAGGACACAACAUAAUGCACUGCAAAACGUCCUAAGACAGGAGAAAUGGU